AUUUGGGUGUUGCCUCCCUUGCCGGGACUGCAGGUGGCGUGGCAGAGUAGGAAGCAUGGUGGACGGAGAGAGGGGUUGACAAAGUACAUUUCAGGGUAUGGAAUUAGCCAGUUUAACUGGAGCUGAGGUAUAUGCAGAGGUUACAACUCCCACCCAUCAACAUUUCACUGGGGCACGCCAGCAAUGCUCAAUAAAUACAAGGCAGAAAAAAACACUACGUGCAACUCUCCCAAGACAUCGGGGGUGAGCUUCCCUUCUCCUGGAGAAACUACCCAUCACAGGGAACAGCAGACUGACCUGUCCCACUUUAGAAAACCAGACGAAAAUCGCUGUUCCCUGUUGGAUCGAGAGGGAUGGGCCGGGGGACGAUGAGAAGGGUCCCUGGGUCGGCUGUGAUGUUGGCCAGUGCAUAUACUGGGUACAUUACAGAUAUACUGGCCAUUAUGUGAAGGACAAGGACCUAAAAAAAAUAAAAUCAAUUCCCUUCUAUUGUCCUCGGCAUAUUCCAUAAAAAUAUUUUAUACAAUGUACUUGUUUGUUGUUAAAUUCAUUGUGGCUUUGGGGUAGGGGUGAUGGGGACAGACACGGGCGAUUACACGUUUAGUAAAUGUCUCAU